GACGUAGGGGGCGAGCGUUGUCCGGAUUUAUUGGGCGUAAAGCGUGCGUAGGCGGCUGCGCAAGUCGGUUGUGAAAGCCUUGAGCUCAACUCAAGAAAUGCACUCGGUACUGGGUGACUAGAGGACCGGAGAGGAUAGUGGAAUUCCCAGUGUAGUGGUGAAAUACGUAGAGAUUGGGAAGAACACCAGUGGCGAAGGCGGCUAUCUGGACGGUUUCUGACGCUAAGACGCGAAAGCGUGGGGAGCAAACAGG
rnacentral:rRNA from 1 species